UUAAAAUUAGAUUUGGUUGGUUGGUUGAUUACAAAGAAAAAAAGUAAAGGAAAAAAUUAAUAAUGAUGUUCUUAUAAGCAAAGUCACGUUACUACUAUAAAAUAACAACUUUUUUGCAACAUUUCCGCCAUCGUAGAUUAAUUUUAUGAGUUACCGAAGAAAACAUAUGUAGCUGUCGGGUUCAAGACGAUCUAAGUGGUUUGUAAAUUCGCACUUUGCACUGGGGCACCGUCUUAUUUUCACUAUAUUUUUUGAAAAUAUGUAUUACAUAUUUAUUCAUAUAUUUAUAUGGUUGUGCUUUAAUAUACCCCUGAUAUUGCAAAGCAAUAAUUCAAACAUAUUGAAAUUUUACUUACGCUGCGGCACAAUAAUUGAAUAUAAAUAAUGUUUGAAAAUAUUAAAUACUAUUGACGAUAAUUACUUAUUUUAUGUGCGCCUAAGCAAAUAUUAUAUUAUAAAAGCACUAAGCGAGCGCUUUGUUAUAUGUAUGCCGACUAUUUGUGGUAGUUAAUGCUUGUGCGAAUAUGUCAUAGAAAUGCGGAAAGAUUAUAAAGAGAAAAGAAAAUGAAAUUUUUUUUUGUUAUUGUUACUGGUGGUGCAGUUGUGAAGAAAAUAAAGUGUUAUUUUGUUGCUGACUUUGUUAAACUGUUAAGUGCAAGUGGUUUCGAUGAACAACAUGCCGAAGCUGUGAAAACAAAUUAAAGCUGUAGAAAAUGCGAAUAAAUUUGAAAUGGCUUGGUCGCUGCUUUUGUUUAACUAUAAUAGCAACAAAAACUAAUUACGUAUAAUGGAAGAAAGUGAAGCAUAUAAGAAAUGUCUAAUGAGAUGAAUUUGCUAAAAGUUUUACGAAAAAUUUUUCGGUGGAAGGAACUACAAGCACAACCAGAACAUUUCUUCGUAUAAAUAAUUUGUUGUCUGUGACGUACUGUUAUCGACUUACAAAUUUUUGUUAGAAUAACACCACUCUCGUACUAGUUGAAAAUAGUUGGCGAGUAUAUAAUUAAAUUAUAUGCUAGAAUUGCCUUAUUUUUUAAAAAGCUUAAAAUUAUUGAUAAAGCUCAGGAAACACCUAACUGAAGAUCACUUUAAUAAAUGUCAAAAAUAUCGGCCUUUUCAUACUUAUUCUUUGCAACUCGAAAAAAGUAUAAUUCACUGCAAAAUAUGUCAUCAUGCCUAUACUAUGUUAGUAUAUUGUAUUAUAUAUAAGCAUUUGUGCGCAGAGAACAAGAUAAGUGAUGGCAAAUCCCAAAUCCUACCGUAAACGCGCCAACGUUUUGUUGUUUUUGCGCACGGUUGACGUUUAUGCACAGUUGCAAGAGCGAGCAAGUCCUACCAGGUAGCGCUACUGUUGCUGCUGUCUACAACAGGAAGACCGCGCGUAUAGGUGUUUAGUAUAAAUGCAACGUAUAGCUGCAAAAGGACUCAGUAGAAAACACAACGGAAAUUAGAACACAACUUAAAUUUUAACACAGACUAACAAACUAAUAGAUUAACUAAACCGAACGCAGUGCUUUAGUGUAAAUUCAAGCGGCAAGCUGAUCACAGCACACGCACUGCGCUUAAAACAAAAAGCAAAAUGGAUACGAAAAAACCAAACAACAUACUAAAUACCAGCGAUGAACUGUAUAUAACUGCGCAAUCGAGUCCAACGCGUGAUGCCAGCCCCUGCCGCUUGUCGUGGUUUCUUGUGAGAAACGAUCCACUUUAUGUGACUGAAUAUGGCACCUAUCGUUUAGUACAUGGCAUGGACUUGAUAGAUCCCGACUAUGCCAAUGCAUAUACGGGUAAUAUUUUAAGCUAUAAUGUUGGUACAGCAACACUAACUGGCAGAAUGUUGGCCGUCGCUGAUGCGGUAAAUCUUGUGCAACGUGCUCUACACGAUUGGCUGAGGGAAGAUCGUAAGAAAUAUCCAAUAUUUAAAUCGAAUAUAUUCGUACAAUAUCGACCAGCGCCAAAUCGUUUGGUGCAUAGAAUAUUACAUGAGGAGGAGGCGGUGCCUAUGUCGUCAACUGAAACUCCAGACGUUAGCGAUAUGGAUAUAUUUGUACGCGACGGCGAUAGGUUGUGUCAGGCAAAGAUAUUGUCACGUAAUCAUAACGUCGACGAUUUAAUAAAUGAUUUGACUAGGCUGACUAGCAACAUAUCCGAAAAAAUCGCAGCCGGUUUCGCAUCGAUUAAUCUCGAUUUGGACGCUACUACCCGACCCAAAGACAAUCCAUGGUUGCUAAUACAGUUUAGCGUUAGUAUACGUGAUAGCAUCUAUUCAAUUGUACGCUAUAAUGAUACAAUCGGUUGGGAAUAUAACGCCUAUCCAGGCUUACAAACAUAUCUACUUGUUGGCAAAACACUUUUCCAAGCUUUAAUUAUACAUAAAUCACACAGUCACAGAGCUGUGAAAUCAGCAUUAGAUAUCAUAAUGAAUUCGUGUAUCGUGUCGAUGUACCCGCAUUAUAACGAUCACGAGUAUCGCAAUGCGGAUAUAGAGAAGGUAUGUGCUAAUUUGAAGUGGGAAAGCUUUGAAGAACUGCGCGCACAAAUCACUAAAGAAUUAAAAAGAGCUGACGAGCCAACAAUAUGAAGCUUGAGUUUGUCAAGUGAAAGGAGCAAGAAGGAUAGAGAGAGUGAGGCAGGUAGAGACAGAGAGGCAUAUAGAAAGAGAGAGAGAGAGGGAGGGAGCUAGACGGCAGUAGUAGACUUCAAAACGUCACAUAUUUGAUAUUACAUAUAUUUUAUAUAUAUAAAUAUUCAUGAUUAUUUUUUUUAAUCUCUACCCCUUAACCACAUUUGUACCUUAGCGCUUGAAAACACGAUUCGUAAUAUUUUAGUUUGAACUCGCUAGUAUUUGUAGCAAUAUUUCCACAAAUAUGCCAACCGCUAACGCUGAUUCGGCUAACGCUGCUAAUUAGUAUGAGCAAUCAGACACAUAUAUAAAAGGCUGUGUACAAAGCAUUGAGAUCCACGAGGAUGACAUUAUAAAUUGUGAACAAGUAAAUGAACUUAUUACAAUGGAGGCGCAGGCAAUCAAUAAAAUUAUCAAUCAGAUCGACCAAACCGAAAGACAGGCGGAUCAUAUAAUGUGAAAAUUAAAAGCAAUAAACAGAAAAAAACAACGUGAAGCAAUGCAGUCGUAAUUAUGUAAACGUUAUGUCCAUUGCUUUCUUUUAAAAAUUUGUAUUGUGUUUCUUUAUCACUACUUAAAAAGUAUUAUUAUGUUACCUGCAUUCUAUUUAAAUUAUAUUAUAUUACAUGUUAAUACACGCAUAUUGUACAUGUUUUAUCUAAUUGCAAUUUGAGUAAAAUUUUUUUCAAAAA